rnacentral:rRNA from 1 species
AUUGAACGCUGGCGGCAGGCCUAACACAUGCAAGUCGAGCGAGCGGCGGACGGGUGAGUAAUGUGUGGGAAACUGCGUGAGGGGGGGGGAUAACUACUGGAAACGGUGGCUAAUACAGCAUACCAUCAGAUGUGCCCAGGUGUGAUUAGCUCGUAGGUGGGGGAACGGCGCACCUAGGCGACGAUCCCUAGCUGGUGUGAGAGGAUUACCAGCCCCACUGGAACUGAGACACGGUCCAGACUCCUACGGGAGGCAGCAGUGGGGAAUAUUGCACAAUGGGCGCAAGCCUGAUGCAGCCAUGCCGCGUGUGUGAAGAAGGCCUUCGGGUUGUAAAGCACUUUCAGCGGGGAGGCGUUACCCGCAGAAGAAGCACCGGCUAACUCCGUGCCAGCAGCCGCGGUAAUUC